GUACGAGAGUAUUUUUACUCAAGUGGCGGACGGGUGAGUAACACGUGAGAAUUUGCCUUUAGGAGGGGGAUAACAAUUGGAAACGAUUGCUAAUACCCCAUAUGCUUGAGAGUGAAACGGAUUUAUCCGCCUAGAGAAAAGCUCGCGGCUGAUUAGCUAGUUGGUAAGGUAAUGGCUUACCAAGGCGACGAUCAGUAUCUGGUUUGAGAGGACGAUCAGACACACUGGAACUGAGACACGGUCCAGACUCCUACGGGAGGCAGCAGUGGGGAAUUUUCCGCAAUGGGCGAAAGCCUGACGGAGCAAUACCGCGUGGGUGAUGAAGGUCUUCGGAUCGUAAAACCCUGUCGUCAGGGACGAAGGUCGCAUGCCUAACAGGUGUGUGGCUUGACGGUACCUGGAGAGGAAGCCCCGGCUAACUCUGUGCCAGCAGCCGCGGUAAUACAGAGGGGGCAAGCGUUAUUCGGAAUUAUUGGGCGUAAAGGGCGCGUAGGCGGUUUUUUAAGUGAGAUGUGUAAUCCCCGAGCUUAACUUGGGAACUGCAUCUCAGACUGGGAGGCUAGAGUACUGGAGAGGGUGGUGGAAUUCCACGUGUAGCGGUGAAAUGCGUAGAGAUGUGGAGGAACACCGAUGGCGAAGGCAGCCUCCUGGGCCAACACUGACGCUCAUGCACGAAAGCGUGGGGAGCAAACAGGAUUAGAUACCCUGGUAGUCCACGCCCUAAACGAUGACGACUAGUUGUUGGGGGAGUUAAAUCCCUCAGUAACGCAGCUAACGCGUGAAGUCGUCCGCCUGGGGAGU
rnacentral:rRNA from 1 species